rnacentral:rRNA from 1 species
UACGGAGGGUGCAAGCGUUGUCCGGAAUCACUGGGCGUAAAGGGCGCGUAGGCGGCUCAUGAAGGCUGUGGUGGAAGUCCGGGGCUCAACCUCGGAUCGGCCGUGGCGACUCGUGGGCUGGAGCACUGUAGAGGCGGGUGGAAUUCCGGGUGUAGCGGUGGAAUGCGUAGAGAUCCGGAAGAACACCAAAGGCGAAGGCACCAUCCUGGGGAGUCACUGACGCUCGGGUGCGAAAGCCAGGGGAGCGAACGGG